GAGGCCUAACACAUGCAAGCCGAGCGGUAUAGUUUCUUCGGAAACUAGAGAGCGGCGCACGGGUGCGUAACACGUGUGCAACCUACCUUUAUCUGGGGAAUAGCCUUUCGAAAGGAAGAUUAAUACCCUAUAAUAUAUUUGAUGGCAUCAUUAGAUAUUGAAAACUCCGGUGGAUAAAGAUGGGCACGCGCAAGAUUAGAUAGUUGGUGAGGUAACGGCUCACCAAGUCAAUGAUCUUUAGGGGUCCUGAGAGGGAGAUCCCCCACACUGGUACUGAGACACGGACCAGACUCCUACGGGAGGCAGCAGUGAGGAAUAUUGGACAAUGGGUGAAAGCCUGAUCCAGCCAUCCCGCGUGAAGGAUGACGGUCCUAUGGAUUGUAAACUUCUUUUGUACAGGAAUAAACCUAGAUACGUGUAUUUAGCUGAAGGUACUGUACGAAUAAGCACCGGCUAACUCCGUGCCAGCAGCCGCGGUAAUACGGAGGGUGCAAGCGUUAUCCGGAUUUAUUGGGUUUAAAGGGUCCGCAGGCGGGCUGAUAAGUCAGUGGUGAAAUCUCGUAGCUUAACUACGAAACUGCCAUUGAUACUGUCAGUCUUGAGUAAAUUAGAGGUAGCUGGAAUAAGUAGUGUAGCGGUGAAAUGCAUAGAUAUUACUUAGAACACCAAUUGCGAAGGCAGGUUACCAUGAUUUAACUGACGCUGAGGGACGAAAGCGUGGGUAGCGAACAGGAUUAGAUACCCUGGUAGUCCACGCCGUAAACGAUGCUAACUCGUUUUU
rnacentral:rRNA from 1 species